GUUUGAGGUUCUAACCUUGGCCCGUGAAUCCGGGUCGGGGACAGUGCAUGGUAGGCAGUUUGACUGGGGCGGUCUCCUCCCAAAGUGUAACGGAGGAGUUCGAAGGUACGCUUGGUACGGUCGGACAUCGUACCUAAAGUGCAAUGGCAAAAGCGUGCUUAACUGCGAGACCGACAAGUCGAGCAGGUGCGAAAGCAGGUCAUAGUGAUCCGGUGGUUCUGUAUGGAAGGGCCAUCGC
rnacentral:rRNA from 1 species